rnacentral:tRNA from 1 species
GCUCAGGUGGCGAAAUUGGUAGACGCACUAUCUUGAGGGGGUAGCGCCGCGAGGCGUGGGGGUUCAAAUCCCCCCCUGAGCA